rnacentral:rRNA from 1 species
UCAAAUGACGUGCAAGUGGCCGCGGCAAUACUGAUGGGUCGAGCGGUGUCUGCACUGUUUGAGCGUAAAGAGGCGGUAGUGGGGCUCGUGGGUCCGCUGUUAAAACGCGAGGCUGAACCUGGAGAUGUCAUCGGGAAUGAGUUGGCUAGAGUGCGGAAGAGGAAAGUGUAAUUCCUGGUGUAGCGGUGAAAUGCGCAGAUAUCAGGAAGAACACCAAUGGCGAAGGCAGCUCUCUGGGACGGUACUGACGCUGAGGCGCGAAAGCGUGGGGAGCGAACAGGAUUAGAUACCCCAGUAGUC